rnacentral:rRNA from 1 species
AGUGAACGCUGGCGGUAGGCCUAACACAUGCAAGUCGAACGGCAGCACAGUAAGAGCUUGCUCUUACGGGUGGCGAGUGGCGGACGGGUGAGGAAUACAUCGGAAUCUACUUUUUCGUGGGGGAUAACGUAGGGAAACUUACGCUAAUACCGCAUACGACCUACGGGUGAAAGCAGGGGAUCUUCGGACCUUGCGCGAUUGAAUGAGCCGAUGUCGGAUUCGCUAGUUGGCGGGGUAAAGGCCCACCAAGGCGACGAUCCGUAGCUGGUCUGAGAGGAUGAUCAGCCACACGGGAACUGAGACACGGUCCAGACUCCUACGGGAGGCAGCAGUGGGGAAUAUUGGACAAUGGGCGAAAGCCUGAUCCAGCCAUACCGCGUGGGUGAAGAAGGCCUUCGGGUUGUAAAGCCCUUUUGUUGGGAAAGAAAAGCAGCAGGUUAAUACCCCGCUGUUCUGACGGUACCCAAAGAAUAAGCACCGGCUAACUUCGUG